UUCGUGAUUUCCGCGCCUUCAGUUUGUCGAACUUGCAACGAACGCGUGCACUUUUCUUUUGGUAGGACGUCGCGAUCCGUUGAGUGUCGGUCUAAGACUUGCGGUGGAGCCCGUUCGUCGUUUCGACGAUGAACGGACCCGUUCGUUCCGGCCGACUCGCUCGACGGUAUAAUUACGGUUAAAGGCCGCUCCAAGAGCGUUCGACUCGGUGCAAGCGCGCCAGAUGUGUCGGCGACCGGACCUAGUGCCGAUCCCGACCUCCGGUGACUGUGGCAACGAAGUUCUCGAACAGACCUUUAAACCGAUCUGCGACGCUAUAGCUUUGGGUAAUUUCAGGACCCGUCUUGAAACACGGACCAAGGAGUCUAGCAUGUGCGCGAGUCAUUGGGAAUUACUAAACCUAAAGGCGCAAUGAAAGUAAAGGUUUUCCUUGCGAAGACCGAGGGAAGACGGGCGGUUCGCCUUUAACAGUGGCCGCCUCGCACUCCCGGGGCGUCUCGUUCUCAUUGCGAGAAGAGGCGCACCAUGAGCGUACACGCUGGGACCCGAAAGAUGGUGAACUAUGCCUGGUCAGGACGAAGUCA
rnacentral:rRNA from 1 species